rnacentral:rRNA from 1 species
CCUACGGGAGGCAGCAGUGGGGAAUAUUGGGCAAUGGGCGCAAGCCUUACCCAGCAAUACCGCGUGAGUGAAGAAGGUCUUCGGAUUGUAAAGCUCUUUGAUCAGGGACGAACAGAUGACGGUACCUGAAGAACAAGCCCCGGCUAACUACGUGCCAGCAGCCGCGGUAAAACGUAGGUGGCAAGCGUUGUCCGGAUUUACUGGGUGUAAAGGGCGUGUAGCCGGGUUGACAAGUCAGAUGUGAAAUCCUGCGGCUUAACCGCAGAACUGCAUUUGAAACUGUUGAUCUUGAGUACUGGAGAGGCAGACGGAAUUCCUAGUGUAGCGGUGAAAUGCGUAGAUAUUAGGAGGAACACCAGUGGCGAAGGCGGUCUGCUGGACAGCAACUGACGGUGAGGCGCGAAAGCGUGGGGAGCAAACAGGAUUAGAUACCCUAGUAGUC